CCUUUCCACUUUCUAACAUCAAGAAACAAGCUCUUGGAGUCCCUGUCGUGGUGCAGCAGAAAUGAACCCCACUUGUAUCCAGGAGGAUGUGGGUUUGAUCCCCGGCCUUGCUCGGUGAGGAUCCUUGAGAGAUGGUCCCCUUCAAUGACGGGGAACUCACUACUUUUCGGGCAACAUCUUCCGUCUUCAGGCUCCUCUGCGUGUCAGAGAGACGGUCCCGCACAGCGGAGCAGAAUCUGGCCAGAGGAAGCGGGAAAACCCAGACAUGGAUGUUGCAAGAGCAGAUUAUUUAACACAACUGGAGUGCUCCCUGCAUCCUGAAAUUCCCCCACAAUAGAAAAUGAGAUGUUUGCGGGCUGCCUGCCAGACCUUGUUCUCAACCACAAGUAUUUACACAAGAGAAAAAGGGCCCCCCGUCCCUCCGCCCUCCGUGGCCCAUCAGGGCUGCAUCUCCCCAUGCCCCAAGCCCACUUGCUCCAAGACGCUGCAUCACACCAAGAGGCUUGCUUCACCGGAAAGGAUCUCGUGGACGUCUCUAACCUCACCUGAUAUCAGGCAGACACUUCCUGAAAGUCAUCCCUCGUGUUCCUAAGAUAAGAAGAGAAAACUGCUUCUUCCUUCCUUUCUGGGUAUGAGUAAUGACUGACUCUUUCUUGCGGUUACUCUGUUGGAGACAGGGUUUCUGCAGAAAGAAUCGAAAUUUAAUGAGACGUUUCUGGGCUCUCUGACUGCAUUGUGUAUGUUCUAUAGGGCAGAAAACAUUCCGAGAGACCAGGUUACAAUGUCUGUGUGACAUCGAAGAAGCCACCUGCCCCCUCUGUGAUCCAGUUCCUUUAUCAGUAACGUCAGGACAACAGUCCUGUCUCUUGGUUAAAAGGACAUGAUGAGCAUAUAAUUCAAAGGGGUCGGCAAAGCUGCCAGCAUGGAGUAGGGACUCCGUGGACCCUUGUACGUGGUCAUUAUUCCGUAUAUCUCGCUUCACACUGUGGUCCCCAGAGAAGUAGCCUCUACCUCCCCUGGAGUCUUGUUAGAAAUGCAGAAUCUUACGCUCCAGCCCAGAACUGUUCCGUUGAAAUCUGCACUUUCACAUGUUUUCUGGGAUUCAAAUGAUAUUAAACUUUGAGAAGCAGUGAUGGACUUACUAUCCAACAGGGUGGGGAGGCUGUGGGUGGGUAUAGCAACGGCUUUCUAAACAAUUUUUUCAUCGUUUUUUUUUUUGUAUUGCUCACCGUCCCUCCCCAGCUGUGCCACAUUCGUAUGACAUCUUCCUGGGGGGGUGACCUUAUCUAACCAGAACUCUGGCCUCAUCACUCUCCUGUGUAUUGGAGUUCCCCUGUUGCCUCAAGGAUAAAGGAAUAACUCCUCAGAAUGGCAUUGAAAUCCCUUUCCAACCUUCCUUUGGCCAACAAGGGCAAUGCCUCAUUUUCCAAAGGCAGCCUUCACUUGCAGGUCUCAGCUCUUUAUCCCAGAAACAAUCCCUUCCCCAAAGGGCACUGUCUUUUCAUCAUUUUCUCCAACUUACUCAAGCUCUGCUUCUUGGAAUGUUCUUGGCCUCCAAAACCCUGCUUAGUCUUCAAGGCUCAGCUCUAUUGCCAUUAUCAGAAUAGGUACAAGAUCAAGCUCAUGAUGGACGAACAUCUCAGAGUCAAGAGCUCUGGUUCUUACUAGGCCCACCAACAACUCCCUAAAGGAGUUCCCUGGUGGCCUAGCAGUUAAGGAUGCCGCGUUAUUAAUGCUCUGGCUCUGGUUGCGGUGGUGGCAUGGGUUCGAUGCCUGGCCCGGGAAUUUCUGCAUGCCACCAGUGCAGCCAAGCAAACAAACAACUCCCUAAAUCUCUUUGAGCAAGUCAUCUGAACUUCUGAGCCUUGUGUGUUCUCAUCAACCUUAUCUGUAUAAAGGAGAUAAUUAAGGCACCAACUUCAGAGACUUGUUUUGAGGAUUCUUCGGGGCUUUUGCGUUAGUCUAGUGACUGGCACAUAGUAAAUGCUCAAUAAAACUUCCCAAAUCCACUUCAGGGUAAAUUCCAUCUAGAGAUGCACCUCUCUCUCCUUUAUUCCCCAUUAUCAUCCCAGUCUCUGGCCCAGUUUCUGAUACACAGCAUAUGCAUGAUAAAUAUUUGUUAAUAAACAAAUGCCUUAAAAAUGUUAUGUACAUUGUAAAGCUCUGUAACAAAUAAAAGCUUGCUAUUUUUUUUUGGUUUUAUU
rnacentral:lncRNA from 1 species